rnacentral:lncRNA from 1 species
ACAGAGAGGGGGAAGAGGGAGAGAGAGAAAGUGUGUCAAGAGUGAAAGUUCAUCUGAUACUGCUGAGAGGGUUAGAAGAUGAGAGCCAUGAGGUGAUUUUGGGGAUGUGAGCAAACCAGGAACAGGGAGGUAAGUUGGUACUGCUCUAGGACAGACAUAUCCAAAGGACAGAAACUAGGAGCCAGGUGAAUAGGCUCAAGAUCAUGGGGGUUGUUUUCCUUAAGUGUGGUGUCCAGUCUCCACACAGAAUGGAUGCAUUUCAUAGUCUUUCUGAGUCUAAUUCAACAACCUUCCAUACACUCAACAAAACACAUUUGAGCCUUGCCACUGUCAUUAGAACGGCCACAGCACUACACUUAUCCAAUCAGUUCCUCUCUGGGACAGUUGAGAGUGUAUCAUUGUGUCUCUGUGGACGAGUCAGUCUUUCCGUGAAAUGUCUCCAAGUAAUAAGCUGGGCUGCAGGAGAAACUCGUUAGCUAUUUCCAUGGUUUGGCGAAGAAUUGCUGUAAGAAAUGCUUUUAAAUGUGCUUUCAAAAAUGUGUUUAGGGGCUGGAGAGAUGGCUCAGUUGUUAAGACUGCUCUUCCAGAGGUCCUGAGUUCAAAUCCCAGUAACUGCAUGGUGGCUCACAACCAUCUGUACAGCUACAGUGGAUUCAUAUACAUAAAAGAAAAAAAAUAAAUCUUUAAAAAUAUUUUUAAAUGUGUUUAAAGCUAUAAUUUGGAUUAAAAUAUUUGGUGGUUGCUAGCACAUCCUUAUUUCUUAACCUUGGGCCUUUAUUUCUUACAGAAAUGACUUUUCGUGUGAAGCCACAAGAAGAGAGAAGUAAGAAGUAACCUCACUGGAUGUGUCCAGUAAAUUCACUGUGGUGCCUGGCAGGUGAAAUUAGGAUACAGUUGCCUCCCGACCUUGUUUUCUGUCAUAAAAACACAUGCACAGAUUUUCAGAACCCUUGUAUAGACACACAUUCUGUAAAUGCUGGACUUGGCAACUCAGAACUGAUCUAAGAGCUGGGUCUGUUUCAUACCACUUCUGACCAGUAAGAGGCUCACAGUUGUUUGUUAGGCUUUUGUCUGGCUUUAUACUCUCUUAGAUAUUAUCUCCAGAUUCUAAAUGUCCUCUUAUUUUUCCGUAUAUUCAAACUCUAUGACUCAUCCCCACCCUGCUUCCUUCCCAGACUAUGAGCCACUACAGUUUAGUCAAAACAUAAUCAACUUGGGACUAGCGAGAUGGCUCAGCAGGUAAGAGCACUGACAGCUCUUCUAAAGGUCCUGAGUUCAGAUCCCAGCAACCACAUGGUGGCUCACAACCACCCAUAAUGAGAUCUGACACCCUCUUCUGGUGCUGUCUGAAGACAGCCACAGAAUAAUAAUAAAUAAAUCUUU